GGUACCUUAGCUCAGUUGGUAGAGCAAAGGACUGAAAAUCCUUGUGUCGCUGGUUCGAUUCCAGCAGGUACCA
rnacentral:tRNA from 2 species